rnacentral:rRNA from 1 species
UUGGAGGGCAAGUCUGGUGCCAGCAGCCGCGGUAAUUCCAGCUCCAAUAGCGUAUAUUAAAGUUGUUGCAGUUAAAAAGCUCGUAGUUGAAUUUCGGGGUCAGUAGGUUGGUCAUGCCACCGGUAUGUACUGGUCUCACUGAUUCCUCCUUCCUGAUGAACUGUAAUGCCAUUAAUUUGGUGUUGCAGGGAAUCUGGACUGUUACUUUGAAAAAAUUAGAGUGUUUAAAGCAGGCUAACGCCUGAAUACAUUAGCAUGGAAUAAUGAAAUAGGACGCUCGAUCCUAUUUUGUUGGUUUCUAGGAUUGAUGUAAUGAUUAAUAGGGAUAGUUGGGGGCAUUAGUAUUCAAUUGUCAGAGGUGAGAUUCUUGGAUUUAUUGAAGACUAACUACUGCGAAAGCAUUUGCCAAGGAUGUCUUCAUUAAUCAAGAACGAAAGUUAGGGGAUCGAAGACGAUCAGAUACCGUCGUAGUCUUAACCAUAAACUAUGCCGACUAGGGAUCGGAUGAUGUUAAUUUUUUAAUGACUCAUUCGGCGCCUUACGGGAAACCAAAGUGUUUGGGUUC